rnacentral:lncRNA from 1 species
ACAUCCUCACCCUCCAUUUUAUCUAAAUUUAAUGGACUAGAUUUAAUACUUAUUAAUAAUCAUGUGACCUCAUUCACCUUUUUUUUUUGAACAAGCUAAAAUGAGAUAUAUUAAUAAAGAGUUUUGUUCCCUAGCACAAGGAGUGCCAAAGGAGACAAAACAAAGUUACAAAAUAGUUCCAAUCAAACCACAAAAGAUAUGAACGAAAAAUACAUCAUACAUCAGCCAAUCCCUAAACAAGCAAGGGGACGCUGCCGCCAUAAAUGAUAACCAAAAGGAAAGCACACAUUUUUUGCUUUCAACCAUUUGAGAGAUGUAAUCUUAACCUUCUCAAGAAGUUGCUCUGUUGUAUUAGCUGUGUUGACAAACAAUCUAUUAUUUCUUUCAUUCCAAAGAACCCAAAUACCACAAAGCCAAAUCAAAUGAAGAAAAGACCUUCUUGGAGCAUAAUCACCUGAAGAAUAAACAAACUGAUAAUAAUGGUCCAAAACCUGAUGAGGAUCCACAAAAAACACACCGAUCCAAGUUUUAAUUUGCUGCCAGAGAGCUCCAAAAAUAGGACAAUGAAUAAUUAAGAGGUCUAUUGUUUCAUUUUGUCCACAACCUGUAACACAAAAUUGAGUAUCAUAAGAAAUAACACCUCGUCGCACCAAGUUAUCCUUUGUUGGCCAUCUAUUGCGGAGAAGACGCCACGCCCAAAUAGAGACUUUCAGAGGAGCACUCUUAUGCCACGGAGCAUCCGAAACAACGUCAUAAUUGUGCCUCUCCUGCCGCAUGAGCAUUUGAUACACACCACGAACAGUGUACCCAUCACCAAUGUUGGGCCGCCAAAGCCAAACAUCUGAUUCAGUAUCCUGCAAAGUAACAUUAGUAAGUAAAAUCCUAAUCUCCACUACCAACUCCUCCUCCCAAGCUAACAAACGUCGCCUCCACCUCCAAGCCUCUCCAUUUUCACCCCAACCUAAAAUGUUCAUCUCUCCCACUGACAGGUCCUUAUGAAUCGAUAAGUCAUACAACCUUCGAAAUCUCACCAUGAACGACUCUGUCCCUAACCAACAAUCCGACCAAAAGAAAGUAUUGAAGCCAUUGCCUAAACGUUUUGAGAUACUUUCUUCGAACCAACUACCACCUUCCACACCUACUCCAUUUUGAAUUUUAAUUAUCUCCCUCCACCAAGCUGAACCUGUCAUGCCCCCCUCCUUCAACCGACCACCUUGCUCCCCAUAUCGAGAGGACAGCACCCUAAACCAUAAACCCUCCCUAUCCACUAGACACCUCCAACACCAUUUACCAAGAAGAGCAACAUUAAACUCAAGUAAUCUCCUUACCCCCAAUCCACCAGCCUCCUUAUUCAUGCAAAUAGUAUUCCAGUCUACCCAGGCAAUUUUUCUAUGAUCCUCACUCCCACCCCAAAAAAAUUUAAUUAAAAUAGAUUCAAUGGAAGAGAUUAUACCUGCGGGAGCUCUGAAAAAAGAAAGGGCGUAGACAGGCAGCGAAGACAGGACAGACUUAAGGAGAAUCAAGCGACCACCGUAAGAUAAAUUUCUACUUUUCCAUUCCGACAAUCUAGAUCUUAAACGCUCUAAAACCGGAUCCCAAAAACAGAGACGUCUAGCAUCACCACCAAUGGGCAGCCCCAAAUACAUAAAUGGAGUUUUACCAAGUUUACAAGACAAAAUAGAAGCGGCUUCCUGUAACCAAGAUUCAGCAAUGUUAAUACCAACCAACAGGCUCUUAUUGUAGUUUACCUUCAAGCCAGACAUAUUCUCAAAAAUCACAAGGAUUGACCGCAAGGCACGAACAUUCGCCCAACUCUUGACACCUAGUAAAAGUGUGUCAUCAGCGAAUUGCAAGUGGGAAAGCACAGUGGGGGAAUGCAUUCCUAUAGAGUAACCAGUAAAAAGGUUUGAGUUUACUGCUGAAGUCAUUAGAACAUUCAAACCUUCAGCUGCUAGAAGAAAAAGAAAAGGCGAGAGAGGAUCGCCUUGACGCAGUCCCCGUUGCAUAUAAAACUCGUCAGUAGGGCUACCAUUAACCAGAACAGAAACAGUUGCAGUACUGACACAUUCCUUCAUCCACUUACGCCACAAAGUUGGAAACCCCAUUUUUCCCAUAACAUCAUCAAGAUAAUUCCAAUCAACAGUUUCCUGGUUAUCAUCAGUUUGCAAGCUUCUUUCUCUAAAAAAUCAAAUUGAUGUUUUGGAGGCUAGGGGUGAAGUGGAUGACUUGUCCGAGGAGGAUAUCAUGGACUUACAUGAGAUGUCAACUGAUUUACACUCUUUAUCCAGGGCAAACGCAAGUAUUUCAUGGCAACAAUCGAGAUUACUAUGUCUUCGGGAAGGAGAUGCAAACUCUAAAUAUUUUCAUGCCAUUAUGUCCGGCAGACGUAGAAGAAACACCAUCUCAUCUAUUUUAGUUGAUGGAAAUGUUGUGGAGGGAGUUUCCGAAGUUCGGGCAGCAGUUUUCAGUCACUUCCAACACCAUUAUCAGGCGCAUGUCAUGAAUAGGCCUAGGGUGGAUGAUUUGCUUUUUAAAAGAUUAUCUGUUGCGGAAGAAAAUUCCCUUAUUUACCCGUUUACUGAGACUGAAGUUAAGGCUGCGGUGUGGGAUUGUGAUGGUUACAAGAGUCCGGGUCCGGAUGGCAUUCCUUUGGGAUUUAUUAAGGAAUUUUGGCUGGAUUUGAAAGGUGACAUUAUGCGGUUUGUGCUGGAAUUUCAUCGCAACGGUCGCCUCUCAAAAGGAAUAAAUAGCACCUUUAUCGCUCUUAUUCCAAAGAUUGAUUGUGCGCAUCGUCUUAAUGAUUUUCGCCCCAUUGCUCUAGUGGGCUGUUUAUACAAAAUUUUGGCGAAGUUGCUAGCAAACCGUUUGCGUCAGGUAAUGGGAACGGUAAUCUCGGAUACUCAGUCAGCGUUUGUAAAAGAUCGCCAAAUUCUUGAUGGUAUUCUAGUAGCUAAUGAGGUGGUGGAUGAGGCCCGCAAGUUGAAAAAAGAAUUAUUAUUGUUUAAAGUGGAUUCUCAUUCACCUUAACAAAUCUCACAUAAUUAAAUACCGUUUUUUCUUUUGACUCAAUCAAUAUUUACCUUUUAUAAACACAAUUAACUAUUAGUAAAUUUGUAAAGAAAAUCUAAUUCUUAAUUACUCUUUACAAAUUCAUCUCCUCUGCAAUAUUUUCAUAAACAAUAUCAAAAGAAGCUUCUCGACAACUAUUUCACGGUUCACAAUCCAAAGGCCAAACUACAUAUAUUUUCCCUAAUACCUAUUAUUAAUGUGAUUUUUAGAAUGAGUCAAUGAGCUUAUGGGCUUCCAUAGAUGUAUUUCUUUUUAUUAUCCACGCACACAUUCUAGAAAUGAUUAUUAUUGUGGAUUUUAUUCUUUUUGAGGAUUGAUCCAUCGAUCGGUGGACUUAUUUGUUUCUAAUGCUAGUUGUGAAUUAAAUUUGACCAUGCCUAUGAAUUUGAGUUAGACAUGUUUUUUUUAUCUAUUUCUUUCGUGGAGAUGAAAAGCUAUAAAUUAAAUUUUUUAA